UACGUAGGGGGCGAGCGUUAUCCGGAUUUAUUGGGCGUAAAGCGUGUGUAGGCGGUUUAUUAAGUCUAAGAUCAAAGCCCGAGGCUUAACCUCGGUUCGUCUUAGAAACUGGUAGACUUGAGUGCAGUAGAGGCAAGUGGAAUUUCUAGUGUAGCGGUUAAAUGCGUAGAUAUUAGAAGGAACACCAGUGGCGAAGGCGGCUUGCUGGGCUGUUACUGACGCUGAGACACGAAAGCGUGGGUAUCGAACAG
rnacentral:rRNA from 1 species